AAGCGUGUCAGUCAAUCAAGAUCACGGUUUGAUCAGAUUUUCGGUUUUCACGAUCACGGCGUCGUCGUUGCUUCGAUCGUUGACUUGAUCGCGUGCUGGUAAACAAGACGGUCUACCGCGUGUUUAUAGUUCGAUAGCGCAAACUCGUUGAACUUCUCCGAAAAACAUGACUAGGGAUGUUGUCAGGAAAGCUGGAUACUUUCAAGAUGGCGACCGUAGCGCUAUCUACGUUGAUUUCCGCUGCACGAGCAUGGCGUCAGGAUAUGUUGAUGGUCUAAUUUUAGUGGCGAUCCGAUCCACAUUUGAAUAUUGUGAGUCGAAGUGUUCGGACGUGAUUUGUUUGAUUAGAGAGAAGGACUAAAUCGCAGUUUAAAAUGCAGAUGAUGAUUGAGAGUUAUUUCAAUUUGCACUAUUACGGCUAUGGAAAAGAGGAAUAUUAUUCUGAUUUUGAUGAUAGCGAUACGGAAAGUGAACCGGAAGAAGAGAAACCUCCUGAACCAGAGAUGGCGGAUCGUGAGUUUCCAUUCGAUGAUGACGUAUUCUACAUCAAUCUCAAAGCACCAAGAGUCAGAACAGGGUGGGAUAAUCUUCCAAUGGAGAUCCUGAUCCGAAUCUUCACCUUCAUCAGACCGAGCGAUCGAAAUUCAGCAGCUCUCACGUGCCAUCGCUGGUUUGAAGCUCUGCGCCAUCCGUACUUCCUCAAUGCUACUUGUUUCCACUUUGAACAUAUAGAAGUAUCCGACAACAAAUCUCCAAUCAAAAUCUUUUUGGACAGCUUUCGCCACUUCACCAACAUCAAACUAACCCGAGUGCAGUUCAGCGGCGAAACUGGAUUUUGGAGCUACUUUGGAGAGCACAUCCGAGAGAUAACGUUCGACAACUGCGCACUUACCAAACCGAAACUGUCGAACAUCCUGGGCAGUAUGCCAAAUUUAGAACGUCUAAACAUAGUCGAUUGCGACGAGUUAUUCAAAAGUUGGAACCCAGUUAUCUUUCAGAACAUAUCACCGAUCUGCAAGCGCCUCAAGCAUCUCGGACUUCGAAAGAUCAGCGCCCUAAACGAAGAUCACCUCAACUAUUUAGUAGCAAUGGCUCCUCGAAUGUCCUCGUUAGAAAUAUCCAAAUGCCUCAGAGACAUGGAUGCUGGUCAAAGAGUCACGAUUCUUUCCCACAUUCUGCGCAUCCUCAAUUUCUACAAGCAUCAAAUGCGAUCCGUCAACUUCAGCUACACCAUGUACGAUGAUCUGUUCUUGAAGCAGUUUGCCGAAAUCGAGAGCAUGUCACUGAGCAACAUUAGCCUGUCGUUCUUCCAACGUGCCCCUAUCAAAGACCCUGCCAUCAUCGACAUCCUUCGGAAACACACCAACCUGGUUCACCUAGAUCUUACAUCUUUUCUCAAUCUCACCGAUUUUGCUCUGAUCGAGAUCGCCGAAUCGAUGCCACUCCUGAAAACCCUAAAGCUCAACGGAUGCUGGCUCUUAACCGAUUUUGGAAUAUCGGCCAUCGGAAAACUUCGGAAUCUCGCCAUUUUGGAUCUGUCGGAUUGCGAUCGCGUUACGGAUAAUGGUUUUCUGCAGGCCAUCCUAGGCAAAGAUCGGGUCAGCAUGAAAGAGCUCUAUCUCAGCAUGCUGCCGGGGAUCACGGAGAAUGUGAUCCUGAAGAUUUGCUUCACGUUGGCCAACCUGACGGUGCUGGAUUUUUGCGGUUCGGAUUGCAUCAACGACACUUCGCUGCAGUUUGUGUUUUGCUAUUUGCGGCUGGUGCGGGUGCUACGGCUGAAUGGAUGUGUGAAGAUUACAGAUGCUGGGCUGACCGGAGUGGACCUUCAGCGUGCUGCCAUCGAAAUAUGGGACGAGCAGCAAACUUUCUCGAUCGACAUGCUUCGAGGACUUCAAGAGCUACAGAUAUCUGGCUGUUUCAAAGUUACUGACCUCAGUCUAACACGUUGCUUCAAGCUAAUUGAGCUUCGCGAAGUCAAUCUGUCCCAUUGCGUCAAUAUUUCAGACGAAGGUAUAAUUGCCAUGGCCAUGAACUGCCCCUCGCUGGAAGUGGUGGAUCUGAGCGACUGUUUUCGCAUCUGCGAUCCUUCCAUUGACGCACUGACCAAGCACUUGCUACGUCUGAACUCCAUGAAACUCGUACGGCUGCCCCAACUGACCACGGAGAGUAUCUACUCGAUACUUGCCCACUGCAAAAGGCUGAGGACGAUCAAUUUGCGGGGAUGUUGCAAAAUACCAAGAAGUGCAAUCGAUUUGCUGGCCAAGAUGAAGUGUCUUCGCAAUACGCCCAAGUAUUAGAUUAACUAUCAUUGCCCGUUCGUACUUGUUUCGUAGGUGUUCGUCAAUUGUUUGUUCAUUGCCAGUCGAUGUUGUUCAUGUGUCCUUCGUUUUCUACUUGAAGCGAGCAUUUUACGUUGGAGUGAAUUAUGCAGCAUCGAUUACCUUAAUGUGAUUAAAUGUAAAAUUUCUCCUCAGUAUCUCGACUGCCGUUUUUAAUCUGACAUAAUAAUGGCACGUUGAUUGAUAAAGAAUUGUGUAUUAUAAGCACUUAUCACAUACUUUGUGUAAGUAUCAGAUCAUUGUUUUGAUUAGAAUUAUCCGAAUUUUCCAUUAGGUUAUGGGCCCAUAUUCGAAACAACUUUAUUUUCAAAGGAAAUUCGAGGUUCAUUGAGUCACAGGAUGCACUUUGAUAAUUAGUUCGACUAUGGUUAACAGUUCUUCAAAUUAUUAUUACUCAGAAGAAGAACGAUCGGAAAUCAGUAGAGUGAAAAGAGCAAAUAUCGUAAAGAAAUCAACCUAGUGCAAUUUCUGACAAAAAGAACACAGUUGAAAUGCUAAUAAGUAUCACCAAUUAAUUGAU